rnacentral:rRNA from 1 species
GCCAGACUCCUACGGGAGGCAGCAGUAGGGAAUAUUGCACAAUGGGGGGAACCCUGAUGCAGCGACGCCGCGUGGGUGAAGGAGCGUUUCGGCGCGUAAAGCCCUAUCGGCAGGGAAGAAGGAGGACGGUACCUGACUAAGAAGCCCCGGCUAACUACGUGCCAGCAGCCGCGGUAAUACGUAGGGGGCAAGCGUUAUCCGGAUUUACUGGGUGUAAAGGGGGCGCAGACGGCAGCGCAAGCCAGGAGUGAAAGCCCGGGGCCCAGCCCCGGGACUGCUCUUGGAACUGCGCGGCUGGAGUGCAGGAGGGGCAGGCGGAAUUCCUGGUGUAGCGGUGAAAUGCGUAGAUAUCAGGAGGAACACCGGUGGCGAAGGCGGCCUGCUGGACUGCGACUGACGUUGAGGCCCAAAAGCGUGGGGAGCAAACAGGAUUAGAUACCCGUGUAAA